AAAAGCUCAAAUUUGAAAUCCCCCGGGAAUUGUAAUUUGAAGAGAUUUGGGUCCGGCCGGCGGGGGUUAAGUCCACUGGAAAGUGGCGCCACAGAGGGUGACAGCCCCGUGAACCCCCUUAACGCCCUCAUCCCAGAUCUCCAAGAGUCGAGUUGUUUGGGAAUGCAGCUCUAAGUGGGUGGUAAAUUCCAUCUAAAGCUAAAUACCGGCGAGAGACCGAUAGCGAACAAGUACAGUGAUGGAAAGAUGAAAAGCACUUUGAAAAGAGAGUGAAAAAGUACGUGAAAUUGUUGAAAGGGAAGGGCUUGCAAGCAGACACUUAACUGGGCCAGCAUCGGGGCGGCGGGAAACAAAACCACCGGGGAAUGUACCUUUCGAGGAUUAUAACCCCGGUCCUUAUUUCCUUGUUGCCCCGAGGCCUGCAAUCUAAGGAUGCUGGCGUAAUGGUUGCAAGUCGCCCGUCUUGAAACACGGACCA
rnacentral:rRNA from 1 species